GGGUGAGUAACGCGUGGGCAACCUGCCCCACACAGGGGGAUAACAGCCGGAAACGGCUGCUAAUACCGCAUAAGCGCACAGCUUCGCAUGAAGCGGUGUGAAAAGCCUUGGGCGGUGUGGGAUGGGCCCGCGUCUGAUUAGCUGGUUGGCGGGGCAACGGCCCACCAAGGCGACGAUCAGUAGCCGGCCUGAGAGAGUGGACGGCCACAUUGGGACUGAGACACGGCCCAAACUCCUACGGGAGGCAGCAGUGGGGAAUAUUGCACAAUGGGGGAAACCCUGAUGCAGCGACGCCGCGUGAGCGAAGAAGUAUUUCGGUAUGUAAAGCUCUAUCAGCAGGGAAGAAAAUGACGGUACCUGAGUAAGAAGCUCCGGCUAAAUACGUGCCAGCAGCCGCGGUAAUACGUAUGGAGCAAGCGUUAUCCGGAUUUACUGGGUGUAAAGGGAGCGCAGGCGGUCUGGCAAGUCUGAUGUGAAAUACCGGGGCUCAACCCCGGGACUGCAUUGGAAACUGUCAGACUGGAGUGUCGGAGAGGCAGGCGGAAUUCCUGGUGUAGCGGUGAAAUGCGUAGAUAUCAGGAGGAACACCAGUGGCGAAGGCGGCCUGCUGGACGAUGACUGACGCUGAGGCUCGAAAGCGUGGGGAGCAAACAGGAUUAGAUACCCUGGUAGUCCACGCCGUAA
rnacentral:rRNA from 1 species